rnacentral:rRNA from 1 species
CCUACGGGAGGCAGCAGUGAGGAAUAUUGGUCAAUGGACGAGAGUCUGAACCAGCCAAGUAGCGUGAAGGAUGACUGCCCUAUGGGUUGUAAACUUCAUUUAUAAAGGAAUAAAACGUGACACGAGUGCCUUUUUGCAUGUACUUUAUGAAUAAGGAUCGGCUAACUCCGUGCCAGCAGCCGCGGUAAUACGGCGGAUCCGAGCGUUAUCCGGAUUGAUUGGGUUUAACGGGAGCGUAGAUGGGUUGUUAAGUCAGUUGUGAAAGUUUGCGGCUCAACCGUAAAAUUGCAAUUGAUACUGGCAGUCUUGAGUACAGUUGAGGUAAGCGGAAUUCGUGGUGUAGCGGUGAAGUGCUUAGAUAUCACGAAGAACCCCGAUUGCGAAGGCAGCUUACUAAACUGUGACUGACAUUGAUGCUCGAAAGUGUGGGUAUCAAACAGGAUUAGAUACCCGGGUAGUC